UGAAGGAGACUUGGGUACGAGCUGGACGGCGUGUUAGGGAUUUCACUCUCUACACUGGCUCCCUUGGGACAACAUUCUUACUUUUCAAAGCUUAUGAAGUCACCAAGAACAAGAAUGAUCUCAAUCUCUGCAUUGAAAUUGUGAGGGCUUGUGAUACUGCUUCACGAGAAUCAGGACAUGUGACAUUCAUCUGUGGUCGGGCUGGUGUGUGCGCCCUUAGUGUCGUGGCUGCAAAGAACGCUAGGGGAUCAUACACUGUGCAACCACUACCUAUCCCAGUUCAAAGCAGUAAUGCUUUGAAAAGUUGUUGGCUAGAAAGUUAGUAAUGGUUGCCUUCUCGAGCCGAAAAAGAUAUUUAUGCAGUAGUAAACCAUUGUUUCUUUGUUUGGAAUUCUAAAUGCUUAUUGGUUACCCUUGUAACUCGUGUACUAUCCAUUUUUUGUUCCUCGUCAGAUGUACUACCUCAUUUGGAAAUCACUUCUCUUGGGGGUUUCUGGAUUGUGUAUGAAUUGCCACUUCAUAGGGUAUGGUCGUGAAGGAAAUCAUCAAGGAUGGAAUACGAUUAGCCAACAAGGGUAUUUGCCCAUUGAUGUACGUAGCAUUUAUUUCGGUCCAAUAAAGUCAAUUCAUCAGAAUCCUUUGGGUUGUUUUUCUAAAUCUUCAUCUCUGUCUCAUCAAUGCCUCUUCUAUUUAUAUUCCUUUUUUUUAAUUUAAUUUUUCUGUCCUUCCAGUUUCGUCCUUGGUAUUUAUUUAAUUUCUUUUCUAUGGAAUUUUUUUAUGUUGGUUUUCUUUUCUUCUCUUUUCCAUCUUUGGGUCUAUAUUUCUCAAUUUAUCUUAUAUGGAGGCUUUCUCAAACAUAUGUUGAGUUGCUAGAAAUCCAAAACUCAAUGAUGGUGGAAGAGCACGAUGUCUCAUUUGAAGCUCCAAUCCAAAAUGAGUAAGUUGUAGGGCAGUCCACAGAGUGAGUGAGGUUAUGAGAAGCUAUCACCAGACUAUCAUACUAUCAUAUCCAUCUGAUUUAUGGGCUACAUAUAGGUGGUUAUACCAAUGACCCUAUAAAAAUAGAGAUCUGAAAAUACCCAAGAAUUCUUUUAUUCGAGACGGUACUGUUAUUACUCCUUGGUUGUUGUGAUUAAUGACCUUUUUAUAUAUAAUACAUUGUCAAUGAUGAUGAGGAACUGGCGAGGGCCUCACAAGCAUUGUUGUGUGAAAGUAACAUAGUUUUGAAAUAGUGAUCGCUCAGUGGUCAUCAAGGACUGGAUAAAUCUCCAAAGCUUAACAAGGAGUACCAACAAUUUUUUUUUUCUGAUAUAGAUGAUAGAUAUGGACAUCCUACAAUAAUUGGAUCAUUUGGUAAAACUGGAGUACCCAGCUCAGAUGCUUGGAUACUUGUGUAAGGUAUUCGCCACACAGAGACUGGGAAUUCUAAUUCAGUUGGGGUUUUGAACUGUAUCUUCUUUAUAGCUAUUAACAAAUAAUAAUCCUUGGGCAUCAGCUUCAAGAAUGAUUGUCCAGAAGAAUUGGAUGCUAGGAAACAGUUCUAUGGGGCAGCAUCUACACUGCAGAGGUCAUGCACCAAGCUAGCAAAGUCCCCUACUUAUUGGGCCUUGAUUCUCAUGACCUACUACAGCUGGCAAUGCAGAAUUUCUAAGUUUCCCACUUGAGAGUCUUGUGUAUGUUGCCAAAUUGGAUAAAUCACGAGGAACACAUGCAAGACCUAGUCAUCGGAAUCCAUAAGUUAGUCAUGCACCAAGCUAGCAAAGUUCCUUUUUGCUUGUUUAGCUUCAUUUAUGUUUAGAAAACACUGAUGUUUGUUGAAAGUUGAAACAAUUGAUUGAGAUUUUUUAAUACCAUCCGUUGUUUCUUUGAUAAAUGGGCAACAGAUGAAAAAAAAAAAAAAAAAGGUCGGGUCCACAACGCAUAAUAAAGUACACAACAUUGCAAUGUUUUGGAUGCUGGUCUAUGCACUUCCACCUGUUUUGGCUUUGAUACACAUACUCAUGGGCAGUAUAGGUGCAUGCUAGAUGACUUGGAUUAGUUGGACUUGGAUGGUGGAUGUUGCAUGUGGGAGGAUUGGAGCUGCAUAUUUCAGAUUCAAGCAUAUGUUGUUAUCAUAUAUGCAAAAGAAUUCUUCUAUGUUUGGGUGCAUGGCGAUUGGAUCUGAAAAUUUGAUAUUUUCAUUCAUUUAUUUCACGGCUUUCACUCCAAGAGGACUGCAGUGAUAAGAGCAUCCGAUGAUUUUUGGCCAAGAGUCCCAGCGUCACAUACAAUCCAUAUUGCAUCUAUUGCCUACAACACCUUUUUCCUUGGAGAAUUCAUGCAGCCUGUUUGGGAUAUGUUUCAUAGCGUCCACCCGAUGGUUGAAUACCAUGGAGUGGAAAUGUCCCAAGCACAGCAAGCCCUGCUCUGUUAACAAUAUGGGCGAAUGAAACCCAAUCUUGGUCUAAUUGUGGUGCUUAAAGUCUAACUUCCUAAACAAAACAUGCAAAUUAUAACCUGUGAUUUUAGCAUUGCAGGCUGCUGGUAAUGAGAAUGGCAUCACUGCAUUUUAGAUGGAGUUAAAAGUUAAGACAAAUCAAAUUAACAGAACUCAAUUUCUUUAGGAGAUGCUUUGUUUCCUGUGCAUUGGAAUGACAUGUUUUUGAAUUUAGGUUUUUUGUCAUGUUGAUUCAAGUUUUUAUUUUUAUUUUUAUUCAGGUUUUUUGUCAUGUUGAAUGAAGGAUUGUAAUAGAUUCAUUAUUGA